rnacentral:rRNA from 1 species
GUCUACGGCCAUACCACCCUGAACGCGCCCGAUCUCGUCUGAUCUCGGAAGCUAAGCAGGGUCGGGCCUGGUUAGUACUUGGAUGGGAGACCGCCUGGGAAAACCGGGUGCUGUAGGCU